UCUACCCCUUUGAGUGGGGGAUAACCUCGGGAAAACCGGGGCUAAUACCGCAUAAAAUCUUCGGGACGGAAGUGCUGAAGAUCAAAGGAGCAAUUCGCUUAAGGAGGGGGUCGCGGCUGAUUAGCUAGUUGGCGGGGUAAUGGCCCACCAAGGCAAAGAUCGGUAGCCGGCCUGAGAGGGCGCACGGCCACACUGGAACUGAAACACGGUCCAG
rnacentral:rRNA from 1 species